CAGUCGUACUUAUGGGUAAUCAGCCUUUUGGGUGUGAUUUUGUGGAGUGUGAGGAGUUAAACGCCUUCGUGCCUGCAUCAAUUCCGGGCGCCGGAAAAGGAUUUGAGGAAUGUGACAGCUUGCUGUGUUAUAGCCUCUUGUCGUACACGGUGCUUGGGAUUGAGGACUGCAGCACGCCUUUUGGUCGGGGUUCUCCCACGCCCACGUGCUUAGGAUGCUGGCGUAAUGGCUUUAAACGACCGUCUUGAAACACGGACCAAGGAGUCUAACAUAUGU
rnacentral:rRNA from 1 species